UAAUGGCAAAUGUGAGUGCGGCUCCC
rnacentral:piRNA from 1 species